GAUGGCAAGUGCAAACCGCCUGUGACCCAUAGCAAAGACAGAUUCUCUCUCAACCUAACAUUCAAGCAUCGCCUGGUUUGUCCAAGGCAGCGCUUGUGCGUCUCGUUACAGUUGAACCCCUUUGGAAGAGACAAGCCCUGGGGAGCAGUCCUUGUCAUUGACAUGAGGUGUCAGUUGGCUGUGCCUUUGUUGGUCCCCCUUUCCAAGAGGAAAUCAGCAAGCUCAUCAAGAUUCCGGACCUUACCUCUCUAAUCCUGGCCAUCCAGAGGGCACACGCAAACCUGAUUGUCCCAGACUGGGCCUAGACAAGUGAUGUCGAGUCAACUCGCGUCUACUGUGUACUAAAUAAAGUUGAUUGAUUGAUAUGUGGGGUUCAACGUCCCAAAACCACCAUACCAAAUAAAGUUAUUCACUCACUUGCUUACCAAUCAA